rnacentral:rRNA from 1 species
AUUCAUGAUAACUUUUCGGAUCGCAUGGCCUUGCGCCGGCGACGGUUCAUUCAAAUUUCUGCCCUAUCAACUUUCGAUGGUAAGGUAUUGGCUUACCAUGGUGGCAACGGGUAACGGGGAGUUAGGGCUCGACUCCGGAGAAGAAGCCUGAGAAACAGCUUCUACAUCCAAGGAAGGCAGCAGGCGCGCAAAUUACCCAAUCCCGACACGGGGAGGUAGUGACAAUAAAUACUGAUACAGGGCUCUUUUGGGUCUUGUAAUUGGAAUGAGUACAAUUUAAACCUCUUAACGAGGAACAAUUGGAGGGCAAGUUUGGUGCCAGCAGCCGCGGUAAUUCCAGCUUCAAUAGCGUAUAUUAAAGUUGUUG